AACUCAAAAUCAGAGUUGCUGAUUUCGACAGAUAGUACACUCAGUAUCAGGAUGCACUUAUAUAUGUAAGGUCAUACGAAAAGCUGAGUAUAAUUUUUUUAUUUUUGUUUUGAUUUUGCAGUAAACCUAAAUGUCAAAGGCUUGAUAGUACAGCUGUGAUUUUUGUCCAAAAUCUUAAAAACAUUUGAAGAAAAUAAGUUGUAAAACCAAGUUUAUUUCUAUAACCACUUUAACAUUUGCAUUUGCGGCAGUAGCCAAUCAAGGUAGUUUCUUUGAGGCGUAGAUUUUUGUUGUUGUGCUAAUGAUGCUACCUCUUAAUUGUACCAUGACUCAAUAUUUUGUUUUUGGGAAACUGUUUCUACCUGUAAAUAAAUAUAUAUCCUUUCUGUGCCGAUAGUCCGUCUAUCUUUUUUUUGCUGGUACUAUGUUCGUUUUCCACGCGUGAGAACACAUGUUUUUCGCGGUUACUUUUUGAAACACUGCAAAAAUUGCAAUGAUAACAUAAUACUUUUAUUUUCCCAUGGUUAUUCUUAAAUUUCUAAAUUUUAAUAUUCCCUAACGAAAGUAAUAAUUGGCAUACACAAUAACCUCUUAUGUCAGUUUUUUUUCCUUCUCGAGCACAGAGAAACUAAAUGCGACGUCGAGUGUAUGAUGUACAACAAUAGAAAGAACCAAAGUGGCGCUCUAACCGCAUGGCCAGACCGCCCUCGUUUAGUUAAAAAAAAUUUCUGCCACACUAAAGACGUUGACAACUCAACCCUGUCAUAUGAUUGUGAAUCGUCUUCUUCUUUCUCAGAUAAAUGUUAUAUUGCAACAAGAUGCCAGUAAGCAAACAAAUUAUUUGUGUACUGAUAUAGCUAUAGACUAUUAAAGAAAUGUUCCGUAUUAAGGCUGGUACUACGUUCUUUUUUAUGGAAAAAUUUCCGAAAAUCGUUCUUUCAGUGGUUUGACAAGGUUGAUUUUUUUGGGUUUCUUUAGGGAAAAUGUUGUCUUUACAUAAAAAAAUAAUAUGGCAUCAAACAAUUUGUCAGCUGCUUACGAACAUGUGUACACACAAACCGUUAUGUUGUUUAAGCAUCGGUAUUUGCUCGAUUUGUUUGUUCUGCUUACAUAUUCGCACUAAUGCUAUUUUCUAAAUACUUGUGGCAUCAAUUGUCCGAGAUGGUCAGGACCGGAAUCCAGGUAAAUUUUUUUCACUCGUUUUUACAUAGAUGUUUGAUUGAGAUUUGUAUUCCAUGUCUUUUUUUAAGUGAGCUGAGUUUUGAAUAUUUAGCCUUCUCAUUGUCAUUCAACUGGAAAUUGGGCGCCCUUCAAAACGAGUUUGCCAGAACCAUCAUGUGUCGCAAAGUCAACCUUUGGGUCGGUGUACUUUUCAAUGUUUUUCGAGUCUGAAAGCCAAUAACGCGACCGCCGAAAUCUAAUUGAUUUUGUUUGUGAUUUUGCUCAGGGUAGAAAAAAUAAGUGUUUAAUAUACUCAAAAAAAUAAAAUAAAAAUAAAAUAAUUUUUCUUUUAUAACAAGCUAUUGUAAGCAAUCUGUAUGAAAUAAUAAAGUUUGUGAACACA
rnacentral:sRNA from 1 species